rnacentral:rRNA from 1 species
CAGUAGCCGCGGGAAUACGGAGGGAGCUAGCGUUGUUCGGAAUUACUGGGCGUAAAGCGCGCGUAGGCGGUUACUCAAGUCAGAGGUGAAAGCCCGGGGCUCAACCCCGGAACUGCCUUUGAAACUAUGUGACUAGAAUCUUGGAGAGGUCAGUGGAAUUCCGAGUGUAGAGGUGAAAUUCGUAGAUAUUCGGAAGAACACCAGUGGCGAAGGCGACUGACUGGACAAGUAUUGACGCUGAGGUGCGAAAGCGUGGGGAGCAAACAGGAUUAGAGACCCGCGUAGUCCCUGUCUCUUAUAC